rnacentral:rRNA from 1 species
CUACGGGUCGCUGCAGUCAAGAAUCUUCCUCAAUGCGCGAAAGCGUGAAGGAGCGACGCCGCGUGUGCGAAGAAGCCCUUCGGGGUGUAAAGCACUUUUGUAAGGGACGAACAAAUGACGGUACCUUGCGAAUAAGGGGCUGCUAAUCACGUGCCAGCAGCAGCGGUAAUACGUGAGCCCCAAGCGUUACCCGGAAUUAUUGGGCGUAAAGGGUGCGUAGGCGGUUUGUUAAGUUGUCUGUUAAAUUCCAGCGCCUAACGCUGGAACCGCGGAUGAUACUGGCAAACUAGAGAAUGGGAGAGGCAAGCGGAACUGCUGGUGUAGGGGUAAAAUCCAUUAAUAUCAGCAGGAACACCAAAAGCGAAGGCAGCUUGCUGGAACAUUUCUGACGCUGAGGCACGAAAGCGUGGGGAGCGAAAGGGAUUAGAUACCCGUGUAGUC